CCUACGGGAGGCAGCAGUGAGGAAUAUUGGUCAAUGGACGAGAGUCUGAACCAGCCAAGUAGCGUGAAGGAUGACUGCCCUAUGGGUUGUAAACUUCUUUUAUAAAGGAAUAAAACGAGGCACGUGUGCCUUUUUGCAUGUACUUUAUGAAUAAGGAUCGGCUAACUCCGUGCCAGCAGCCGCGGUAAUACGGAGGAUCCGAGCUUUAUCCGGAUUUCUUGGGUUUAAAGGGAGCGUAGAUGGGUUGUUAAGUCAGUUGUGAAAGUUUGCGGCUCAACCGUAAAAUUGCAAUUGAUACUGGCAGUCUUGAGUACAGUUGAGGUAGGCGGAAUUCGUGGUGUAGCGGUGAAAUGCUUAGAUAUCACGAAGAACCCCGAUUGCGAAGGCAGCUUACUAAACUGUGACUGACAUUGAUGCUCGAAAGUGUGGGUAUCAAACAGGAUUAGAUACCCCGGUAGUC
rnacentral:rRNA from 1 species